UACGAAGGGUGCAAGCGUUAAUCGGAAUUACUGGGCGUAAAGGGUGCGUAGGCGGUUGUUUAAGUCUGUCGUGAAAUCCCCGGGCUCAACCUGGGAAUGGCGAUGGAUACUGGCGAGCUAGAGCGUGUCAGAGGAUGGUGGAAUUCCCGGUGUAGCGGUGAAAUGCGUAGAGAUCGGGAGGAACAUCAGUGGCGAAGGCGGCCAUCUGGGACAACACUGACGCUGAAGCACGAAAGCGUGGGGAGCAAACAGG
rnacentral:rRNA from 1 species